CCAUCUUCCUCCCAUCUCUU
rnacentral:snRNA from 1 species